rnacentral:rRNA from 1 species
GUGCCAGCAGCUGCGGUAAUACGGAGGGUGCAAGCGUUAAUCGGAAUUACUGGGCGUAAAGCGCACGCAGGCGGUCUGACAAGUCGGAUGUGAAAUCCCCGGGCUCAACCCGGGAACUGCAUUCGAAACUGUCAGGCUGGAGUCUUGUAGAGGGGGUAGAAUUCCAGGUGUAGCGGUGAAAUGCGUAGAGAUCUGGAGGAAUACCGGUGGCGAAGGCGGCCCCCUGGACAAGACUGACGCUCAGGUGCGAAAGCGUGGGGAGCAAACAGGAUUAGAUACCCCUGGUAGUCCAACGCUGUAAACGAUGUCGACUUUGGA